rnacentral:ncRNA from 1 species
CUCAUAGAGAGUGACUGAGGGACUGGCCCGUUGAAGUCACGGCAACCGGUCGAAACAGCGCGUUUCGAUGUCCAGGUGCCAAAUCCAGCUGGUAUAAUCCAGAAAAGAUGAG